rnacentral:lncRNA from 1 species
GAAAAAACCAGCGGGCACAGUAAGUAAUGUGGUUAGAGUGUGGUGGUGUAGAUAGAUGAAACAACAGGCAUUGAGUAAGUGUCUUAGUCAAUCUUAGGCGCAAAUCAGAGAAGAUAUGAAAAAUUGUUUCUUAAGAUUUGUCAAGAGAAUUCACAUAAAUGUUAGCACUAAUAUGAGAAUUUCAUUAUGUAUCACAGAAUUAUGUUGACUGCAACAACAAUAAUAGAACAUAACCAUGGUUAUCAUCAGUAUGUUCAGUGUAAUUAAAAUGAUAUCUACAGCUAUGUAACUGCAUGUCUUUCUGUUUAGAUACCACUGCAUAGAUACAACACUGUAAUACAUCUGAGACAAGAAGGAACAACACAGAAAAAGACCCUUCCUGCCUUCAAGACGACUUACUCUCGUUGGGCACAGGGCUGGAUGAGGAGGGAUACUCAAUGACAGUAUUAUGCGAUAACAAAGAAGAGAAGCCUGUGAGAUGGAACCCUGUUUUCCCUCUUCACAAAAGCAUAAGCUCUUGGUGAGAGCCCGCAGAGGGGAGAGCCCUUAUGUGGAUUCAUGAUGGAGAGAAGAGAUCUUAGGGGCUCUGCCAGGAUAAGACCUUCUUGAAGAUAAUCUUUUGUGCUACUAGUCCUGGUCUCUGGAUGCCAAGAACAGGUCCACCUUCCCAUUGACAGUUCCUGAAAGAGUAACAGGAGAAGUUUCAAGGAUAUUGGAUAAACACCUGACAGGACUUUUUAUCUGCAUUGUGGAGACCAUUUCAUUUUUCUUAUCUAAACUGUACAGAUACAGAAAGCCUCUGGGCAGACCAUCUGGAUAGAGUGAGAUAAGGAAACUCAGGAUCUAGUUGUUCCUUACCUUACUGUAGAACUCCUACAUUGCACCG